rnacentral:lncRNA from 1 species
GGACAAGUAAGUUUUGGGUGAAGCAGGAACCUCCAAGUCCCUGGUUUAGAGUCUUCUUGGAGUCUUCAAGCACUGAACAAAAGCAGUCAUUGUUUGGAAGAACCAAGAUGAAAGAUGUAUUGCCAGUCCAAUUUGAUGUUUAAGCUUUUGCGAUUUGCUGUGGUGGAGUGAAACAAAGAAGAAAUGGAGACAGAAGCAAACAUGUUUGUGAGUGGUUCAAUGAUGGAUUUCUCAGUGGAGCAGUUUGAAC